rnacentral:rRNA from 1 species
UACGUAGGGCGCAAGCGUUGUCCGGAAUUAUUGGGCGUAAAGAGCUCGUAGGCGGUCUGUCGCGUCUGGUGUGAAAAUCCCCGAGGCUCAACCUCGGGCUUGCAUCGGGUACGGGGCGGACUAGAGUGCUGUAGGGGAGACUGGAAUUCCUGGUGUAGCGGUGGAAUGCGCAGAUAUCAGGAGGAACACCGAUGGCGGAAGGCAGGUCUCUGGGCAGUUACUGACGCUGAGGAGCGAAAGCAUGGGGAGCGAACAGG